rnacentral:tRNA from 1 species
AAAAACUUAUUAUAAUCCAAGUAAUACUCAUUUACAAUGAGUUAGUUCCUAAUAGGAAGUUUUAA